rnacentral:lncRNA from 1 species
AAGAGUCAUUCAUUUCAGUAGCUUCCUAUGUGAUCUAGCUUUCCAAAUUUUUAUGGUAUCAACCUUAUUGUGUUAGCUAGAUAUACACCAAAGUUGAGCCCAGUUUAACAACGUUUACUAUUUUUCAAAAAUUGUAACUUUCGGUUACACAAAACUGCCAGAAAUGGUAGAUCAUGGUAAAAACGUCAUAUCUCUCAAACCACUUGGAGUUUUCGACUCUACUUUUUUUAAAUGAAACUAGACUCGUAGACCUUUCUUUUGAUAUGAGUCUCGAGUCCAGGAGAUGUCGGAGUCAGAACAGUUUAAAUUUUGAAGUUGGGUCAGUGUAAAAACAGAGCAUGUUUUGAUGAUGUUUGAUUGUGUUUUCUUAUGUGCCUUAUGUGAUUGUGUUGCCUAUGUGUUUAAAUGAGAUUAGACGAGCCUUAUAUGUGAGAUAAAUCGAGACUUAGAACCAUGAUUUUCUUGAAACCUAUCCUUGAACUUAAGGAUGUGAGAUGAGUGGAGAGUUUAUAUAAAGUUGAGUAAGGAGAUAGAAUAUGAGAUAGAGCAUGAGUUAAGGCUUGGGAGUUAGUCAAUGAGUUUCUAAUCGAGAUUCAUUUUAUGACAUGAACUUUCGAUGAUGAUGAUGAUCCCUGAAGACACGAGAAGAGCAAGGAAGUAAGUAACUCCACUUUGACGGGAGAUUUUGAGUAAGGUCUUCAGGUGGGCAAUAUUUUGAGUAUAUGUUUAUCGUAUGAGCUUUCUAAAAUGAUUUUAU